AGGACGGUGGUCUAGCGGUUAGAACGCUGGCCUUGUAAUCCUGGGGUCUCGGGUUCGAUUCCCGGCGGUGCCC
rnacentral:tRNA from 1 species